CUCUUUACCAUCCAUUCAAUGGGGUGCAGUCUGGGGUUUCGUCGUUCUCAGUUCGCCGAGCAACAUCAAGCAGAAGCAUUCAAUGAGCAUAUAAGGAACCUCAAACUGCUUCUUAGCUAGAACUUAAGGAGCCUAGGAUUUGGCAUCUUUUCAAGUUAACAUCCAUGGUUGAAGAUGGAAAUCCGUUUAUCAAGGGAAGGAGAUAGAUAUAACAACUGUCAUUUGUUCUUAUCUGGGUAAGACAAUCCUGGAAAUAUGGCAUCUAACAGGAUAGCCCAAGUCAAAGUCAGAAACUGCUUCCAUCUGAUAAUGUUGUCUCAAUGCAACUAGUUGAAAUAUUCUGUUGGUUCUGGAGAGGAGACUCAUUAAAAAAUGCACUUUAGUGCCGGUGGGCCCAAUUUGUUGCCUCUAAGUUGCGUUCAUGAAACUGUGGAGAGUGUUUAUCCGCCAUCUCCCUCCAAUAACAAGGAUUCUGAAAGACAAUAUGAAGAGAAAUUCAAUUUUGGCUUUCUCAACUGUGCUGAUGUCAAUGAAGCAGUUGAGCUAUCUAUUGCAGCAUCUGAAGCACUGGUUAUACAUGAAUUAGUGAAGCGUGAGUUAGCUUCAAUGGCAUUGCCAACAGAAUCAGUACUUGAAGUUGCCCUACAGGUGAAACAAGCACGGUUGGAGAUUUUGGAAGAGGCCUUCAGUUUCCAAACUGAGGAGAGUGACAUAUGCUAUUCUCUUUCUGACUUGGAUGAUGUUGCUAUGACAGAUGCAUUUGAAGAUGUUGGGUUAUCUUACAAUAACCCUGAUGAUCAGUGUGCUUGUGAUUCAGCUCAAUCUCAUGUCAAGGAAACUCCACUAUUUGAAAAUCGUAGUAUAUUUCACAAUGGAUUAAAUCACAUAGACAUCAGAUCUCAACAAGUAGAUUCUAAUCUUAUUUCUACACACAGACAUUUAGAAGACAAUAUGGGCAUGGACGUGCAGUUAACAAAAGACUUAUGUCCAGGAUCUCUUGAUUGUGAAAGAAAGAGGAAACGUUCUCAUGGUCCUGUUCAGGUUUCAACUACCUCAAAAUUGGCCGCAUAUGUUGAUUCCAUCUUGCACCAGUCUAUCCAGGAAAAUUCAGGCGGUUUAUUUAUGAAACAGGAAGAAGAUGCUCAUGCACUGUCGAAGCAGAAAAAUGCUAGAAGUGUUCCUGCAUUUUUUCUUGGUGAGACAAGCUUUCUAUCGGAAUCAGCAGAUAUUGCCCCGGAUGAAAACUCUUUUGUGCAUGAACUCGAGUGCAUGUCCAAAUUUGGUUCACAGUCAAGCGUACAUGUUGAGGGUUCACUUCAAAAGGCUCAUGAAGAGAUAUUGCUUUCUCAAGAUGUGGUUAGAUCUUCGAUUCUAUCUUUUGUCGAUCCUCUCUGUUCUGUUGUUCCUUGUAGUAUUCCUCCGGAAAAUGUCAGUUCGACACAAGGCCACAAUCUGAAUGAUGGAGAAAAUACUAGAAAAAAAUGCUCUAGACCCUUGAGCGAACAUGGGAUGGAGAAUUUGCAAAGGACACUAAACCAAAAUCUGGGACCUGAUCAUGGGGAUAACCAUGCUGCAUACACGGUUAAUAUAGAAGCUUCUGGUGUAUCAACUAGAAGGCAGAUGACCUCACUUAAGACUUAUAGCAUGCUUGUGCCUAACCCUGUAUGCUUUUUGGAAGGGGGAUGCCUUUACUAUAACCAGUCCUUUCAAUUAGAAUAUGAUCAAGGGAAGCUUUCUUCAGAUCAAAAUACGUGCUGCUCCAUGUCUUCUGAUAAAAGGGGUUCUAUCGAGUUCCUACAUUCAAGGCCUGUUUCGAAUUAUGCUGGUGGUAGAAAUAAUGAGGACACUCAGGAAACUACUAUAAACAAUAAUUCAGUUGCAGAAAUGACAAAUCUGAAGAGAAAUUUGGAGAAAACUACCAGAGAAGAGGACAUGUCUCUAAUCCAGCCAUUGGAGAGGAGAAUUUCACCUUGUGUUAUGAAUCAAAGGGCAUCCUGGCAUCUGCUGUCUUCUAAGCAUUCUGUAAAAAGUUUCACCGGACAUCCUAGACAUGCUUUGGUACCAGGAUGCAUUAUUAAGCAUCACCAAAGCAAAAUUGUUCAAAAUAUGCAAUCUAAAGGCUAUAAUUUCCAUGACAACCAUGCAAGAAAACGUGUUCAUUUCUCUGAAGCAGAGGAUCUACUCCAGCAAACCAAGAACCCCCCAAAGCAACAAUUUUCACACCAGAACUGCCCAACUCUUAGAGCUCGUAAAGGACCAAAUUUGUCCAAAAAAUGGUCUAGAGCUUAUGGCAUGAAAAGUUGUCUCACAAAAUCGUCUCACAAGGUUAAGAAGAGAUUGAAUUUUCUAGGUAAAGAAUUCCUUGUUACUGGAUUUUCUAGUGAGAAGACAAAGGAAAUUGAAGGACUAAUAUGGAAAUAUGGUGGCAUUGUUCUCUUGGAUAUUCCUUCUCCAAAUUCAAGGGGAAAGGGAAGUGCAAGAGUUAUUUGUCAGCACUCUCCUGUUAUUCUUUGUUUAAAAAAGUUAAAAACUACCAAGUUCUUGUAUGGGUGUGCAGUGAAUGCUAUAAUACUGAAAGUUGAUUGGCUUACCGAUUCAAUUGUAGCAGGUUCUAUUUUACUGCCUGAGAAAUACAUGAUUCUAUCCAACCGAGUUGAUGCAAUAUGUACCAGAAGUGGAAAGCUAGUUCAUCUCAAUAACAAUAUGUAUAUAUUUGAAAGGGUAGGGAUUAUGCUUCACGGGAAGCAUAGUUUCUGCACCAAAUUUGCAAAAAUAUUCAGGCAUGGAGGUGGCCAGGUGUUUAAAACCCUUCAGUGGUUAAUAAAAGAUCUUGACAAUAAAAAGAUUUUUAUCGGUGCCAUCAUUGCUGAGGAUGAGAGUACAGUAUCACGUCAGUUGAAACACUGUGCGGCAGAGCGAGAAAUACUCAUGAUGCCAGCCAGCUGGAUCAUUAAUAGCUUACAUUCAGGAAAGCUCCUUCCUAUUGCAGAGAAAAACUACUACUUGCCUUUGCCAACAAAUAAUAUUCCAGAGGCUCCUAUUUCCAUGGGGUGGAGUGAAGAAAUAUGAACUUCGUUUCUACCACAGGUAUUGGAUACGAUUGGAACAAAUAAAGAUUAACUCCAUUCUUCUCUAGCUAAGCUAUGCCAGUUUGAAGAAAAAAGUCGAUGUAGCAUGUAGGUUUAGGAUGCUUAAAAUAAAAUCUUAAGCUGACAUUACCGUUCAAAGAUUUGAACUUCAGGCACAACAUAAUUUUAUAGGUUGAGGACAGGCAUGCUCCAACUUCUCUGAUGGCCUUGUUGCUCUUUUGUUUAGAUUACCAGUGUAGCAGGUUGAACUAUAAAAGUUUAGAGGUGGCUUUAAUAGUUACCGAUUCUAAACUUUUUUUAUUGAGUCAGCUUCAAGUGCUAAUAAGAACUUAUCCAUAGAUGUUUAUGCCUGUGUUUGAUAUACUUUUCUCACUUGAAGAAACAGCUUAAAAGAGUUAACAAGGUGCUGAUCUCCUGUGAAACAUCCACUACGGGUGAAGAGGAAACAGUGGGAGACAACCAUUGAUAGGGCACUGUUUAUUUUUCUGUCAAUUUUCACAGGAACAUUGGCAGUGUAGAUAAGGUGCUGGAUAGCACACAAGAGAAACAAGCUUCAGACUGGAAAUUGGAAAAUUUUAUCAUAUCUAUCUUGGUGCUUGUUUAUUGCCAAUAGUAUGCAAAGCUGCCUUCCAAGAAAUGAAAUGGGCAUUGUUUCGUUUUCAGCAGUUGCUUCUUGUAUUGUAU